GGAGAAGAUGGCUUGUGGUUUUUCUAUAUGUGAAAUGUCUGUCAAAAAGAUUAUAGAGGAUGUAUUAUUUAUUAUUUGUAGCAUUCUUUUUUAGGAGAUGCAGCAGAAGAUGUAAUAGUUUUCAUUGUCAAGUGUGGAAGUGGACAGCUUCUAGCCUUUGGGCCAGAAUCAACCAUUAGGUUAAUGUCACCCAGCCUGUGGGGACCAGUAAAAGAUGUCAUGGCUCUGUGUGUGCCUAAAGAUGCAAAACUACAACACUUCUGAUCAUCUUUAACAGCUUCAUUGAAGAAAGCCUGAAGAGUGUUGUCAAAGUAAGAUGAACUUGGACUCAGCCAAAAGCACAUCAUCCUGGGGUCCUGGAACAACUCUCUGAACUUCUUUCCAUUGAGUGCUUGAAUUUGAACGCAAAGGUAGCUCAAGAAGACAUCUGAAGACAGCACUUUGGAAGGUAUCCUGUGAUUUACUCUCUGGAUGAUGGCUCUACAGCAGAUUCCCAGCCAACGCACACAGACAUUAUCCAUUUCAGAAGAGACACGCACUCUGCUUGAGGAAAUGAUGUGUGAGAGACAUGGGAGAAAGAGCUUGACAGUUGGGCUGUAACAACAGCAGAGCUGGAAUCAUAGAGGGCCUUUCAAGAGGCUGGCCACUGCCUUGCAGCCCCCGUCGUGGGCAGAAGCUCAGAGCUGUUCA
rnacentral:lncRNA from 1 species